CCUACGGGAGGCAGCAGUGGGGAAUAUUGCGCAAUGGGCGAAAGCCUGACGCAGCGACGCCGCGUGAGGGAUGAAGGUCUUCGGAUCGUAAACCUCUGUCAGCAGGGAAGAACGGUCACUGUGCUAAUCAGCAGUGAAUUGACGGUACCUGCAAAGGAAGCACCGGCUAACUCCGUGCCAGCAGCCGCGGUAAUACGGAGGGUGCGGGCGUUAAUCGGAAUUACUGGGCGUAAAGCGCUCGUAGGCGGUAUGUCAAGUCAAGGGUGAAAUCCCCGCGCUCAACGUGGGAACUGCCUUUGAAACUGGCAAACUGGAGUGUGUGAGAGGAUGGUGGAAUUCCAGGUGUAGGAGUGAAAUGCGUAGAUAUCUGGAGGAACAUCAGUGGCGAAGGCGACUAUCUGGCACAUAACUGACGCUGAGGAGCGAAAGCGUGGGUAGCAAACAGGAUUAGAUACCCUAGUAGUC
rnacentral:rRNA from 1 species